ensembl:lncRNA
UAGUGUCUUCGAUCCACUAGGCUUAUUAGCACCAGUCACCAUUCAAGGAAGAGCUCUACUCAGAGAACUCACCUCAGAAAACUCUGAUUGGGACACACCACUUCCAGAAGAUAAGCAGAGCAAAUGGGAAGCUUGGAGGGAUUCGCUGCAGGACUUAAGGGAACUCCAUGUCCCAAGAACAUACACAUCUACCUCUCUCAGUCAGGCAAGGCGCAAAGAACUCUAUGUCUUUUCAGACGCAUCGACCAAAGCAAUAGGUGCAGUAGCCUACAUGAGAGCUCUGUAUCCAAAUGACAAAGUUGAGGUAGGGUUUGUCAUGGGUAAAGCAAAACUAACUCCUCAGUCAGAGCCCACAAUACCAAGACUGGAACUGUGCGCCGCUGUCUUGGCUGUAGAGAUAGCUGAUCUUGUCAGGAAUGAGCUGGACAUAGAGUUUGACGCAGUUCGCUUUCACACAGACAGCAAGGUGGUCUUGGGCUACAUCUGCAACGAAUCAAAAAGAUUCUACACAUAUGUUCACAACAGAGUGCAGCGUAUUCGCCAGUCUUCAAAGCCGGAGCAGUGGCACUAUGUGCGCACCGAGGAAAACCCAGCGGAUCACGCAUCACGCUCGCUCACAGCAUCUCAACUAACAAAAACAACUUGGUUCACCGGACCCUCCUUCAUCCGUCGUUCAACCCCAGAGACAAAAAAUGAAAACGACAAGUUUGAGUUAGUUGAGUCUGACAAAGACUGUGAAAUCAGGCCACAAGUGAGAACUUGUGCCACUCACCUUCAAGUAGUCUCCUGUAAGCGCUUUGAGCGCUUCUCCACCUUCAAGUCUUUGGUCCGUGCAGUCGCCUUCCUCAUUCACAUGGCAAAAUCUUUCAACGGCUCCAAUUCAAACCAUGGAUGCAAAGGGUGGCACAUAUGUCAGCUUCCUCGUACACCAGAUGAAAUGGAUCAAGCAAAACGUGUCAUCCUCCAACAAGUGCAACAGGUCACCUUCGCAAAGGAGCUGUCUGCCCUUAACGUUGGCAAAUCCAUCGCCAAACAAAGUCCUUUGCAAAAGCUCAGCCCAGUCCUGGACAACGGCAUCAUUUCAGUUGGAGGUCGACUCAAACACUCAGAGCUCGAGAACUCUGAAAAAAACCCGAUAAUUCUCCCAAAAGACAGUCAUGUCUCUGUCCUGCUCACUCGCCACUACCAUGAACAGGUCAAGCACCAGGGUCGUCACCUAACAGAAGGUGCGAUAAGGGCUGGAGGUCUGUGGAUAGUCGGUGGAAAGAGACUAGUUAAUUCAGUUAUCCACAAGUGUGUUAUCUGUCGCAAACUGCGGGGAAAGCAGGAAGAGCAACUCAUGGCAGAUCUUCCCCCGGAACGAUUGAAAACAUGUCCUUCCUUCAGCUACGUCGGCCUUGAUGUUUUCGGGCCUUGGACAGUAACCACCAGACGUACCAGAGGUGGACAUGCACAAAGUAAGCGUUGGGCUAUCCUGUUUACCUGCAUGAGCUCAAGAGCCGUGCACAUUGAGGUAAUUGAGUCCUUAGACACCAGCAGUUGUGUAAAUGCCCUGAGACGCUUCUUUGCCCUGAGAGGCCCUGCCAAAAAACUUAUAUCGGAUCGUGGCACUAAUUUCAUUGGGGCUUCCAAGGAGUUAGGAAUGGACAAAGCUCUGGAAUUAUACCUGAAUGACCAAGGUUGCAGUUGGGAAUUCAACCCGCCUCAUGCGUCCCACAUGGGAGGCUCCUGGGAGCGCAUGAUCGGCAUUGCACGGAGAAUAUUGGAUUCAAUGCUGCUUCAAAGUAAGGUGCAACUCACUCACGACGUAUUGUGCACACUUAUGGCUGAAGUGUCUGCAAUUAUAAAUGCCAGGCCACUCCUUCCAGUUUCGUCUGAUCCAGACAAUCCCUUCAUUCUCUCUCCCUCUAUGCUGCUAACCCAGAAAUCGUGCCUUAUACCUCCUCCUGGAGAUUUCUUGGACAAGGACCUUUACACCAAGCAGUGGAGACAAGUUCAGGCUCUUGCAAACCAGUUCUGGACACGCUGGAGGCGAGAGUACCUGCCUUUAUUGCAGCAGAGACAGAAAUGGACUAUAUCUUGUCGAAACCUGCAAGUUGGUGACAUUGUUUUGCUCAAGGACAAGCAGGUUCCACGGAACAGCUGGCUCAUGAGUAGAGUCACGGCAACUUUCCCUGGGAAGGACAAUCGAGUAAGGAAGGUCGAGGUCACAGUAAAUGACCAAAGCACUCGAAAGACCUUUUUGCGACCAGUUACUGAAGUCAUUCUUCUUUUGCCAAAGGACUGAUUCCUGCUAAGUUUUGUUGUUGAUAGUGACCUCACAGAGGUCAGGCGGGGAAUGUGUUGCCCUUAAGGCAGUUAAUAAUUUAAUAAAUAAGUUAAAUGGUUUAAAAUGUUUAAAUUAAGCAUUUCUAAGAGUUUCUUAUAAGUAUUUCAUGUGUAUUUGUAAGUUUUAUUUAAAAAAUAU